rnacentral:misc_RNA from 1 species
UCUCCGUUGGUGGACCAGCGGAGGGAUCAUUACAGAGUUGCAAAACUCCCAAACCAUUGUGAACGUUACCUAUCCCGUUGCUUCGGCGGGCGGCCCGGGCUCCGCGCCCGGCGCCCCCCGGCCCCCCGUGGGCGCCCGCCGGAGGUAAACCAAACCCUUGAAUUGCAUGGCCUCUCUGAGUCUUCUGUACUGAAUAAGUCAAAACUUUCAACAACGGAUCUCUUGGUUCUG